rnacentral:sRNA from 1 species
ACAUUAGUAGAAAAUGCAAAGUUGGUAAGACCAUGUCCUGUUGUUUAUUUUUGCCUGCAAAAUACUAAGUUAGUCUUUUUCUUGUUCACAGGCUAAAAGGUCAGAUUCCUGAAAUUAAACAGACUUUGGAAAUUCUAAAAUACAUGCAGAAGAAAAAAGAGUCCACAAACUCAAUGGAGACCAGAUUCUUGCUGGCAGAUAACCUGUAUUGCAAAGCUUCAGUUCCUCCUACCGAUAAAGUGUGUCUGUGGUUGGGGGCUAAUGUAAUGCUUGAAUAUGAUAUUGAUGAAGCUCAGGCAUUGUUGGAAAAGAAUUUAUCGACUGCCACAAAGAAUCUUGAUUCCCUUGAGGAAGACCUUGACUUUCUUCGAGAUCAAUUUACUACCACAGAAGUCAAUAUGGCCAGGGUUUAUAAUUGGGAUGUAAAAAGAAGAAACAAGGAUGACUCUACCAAGAACAAAGCAUAAUGCUGGCAAUUAAAAAUGUGGUUCAGUUUUCCAAACAUGUUAUCUUAAAUACCCUUUUAUCCUUACAGGUUGACAUAACUUUGAAUGUUUUAACAGCAAGAAUUUUAAGAAAAGACAAA